rnacentral:rRNA from 1 species
GGUUACUGCUAUCGAGAUUCGACUAAGCCAUGCGAGUUGAAUGUUCUUCGUGAACAUGGCGGACUGCUCAGUAACACGUGGACAACCUACCCUUCGGUCCGGCAUAAUCCUGGGAAACUGGGGAUAAUUCCGGAUAGGUCACAGAUGCUGGAAUGCUCUGUGGCUCAAAGCUCCGGCGCCGAAGGAUGGGUCUGCGGCCUAUCAGGGUUGUAGUGGGUGUAACGUACCUACUAGCCUACGACGGGUACGGGUUGUGAGAGCAAGAGCCCGGAGAUGGAUUCUGAGACACGAAUCCAGGCCCUACGGGGUGCAGCAGGCGCGAAAACUUUACAAUGCGGGAAACCGUGAUAAGGGAAUCUCGAGUGCCAGCAUAUAAUGUUGGCUGUCCAGAUGCCUAAAAAGCAUUUGUUAGCAAGGGCCGGGCAAGACCGGUGCCAGCCGCCGCGGUAACACCGGCGGCCCGAGUGGUAACCGUUUUUAUUGGGUCUAAAGGGUCUGUAGCCGGCCAUGUAAGUCCCUUGGGAAAUCUGGCAGCUCAACUGUCAGGCUGCUAGGGGAUACUGCUUGGCUUGGGACCGGGAGAGGUGAGAGGUACCUUGAGGGUAGGGGUGAAAUCUUGUGAUCCUCGGGGGACCACCAGUGGCGAAGGCGUCUCACCAGAACGGGUCCGACGGUAAGGGACGAAAGCUAGGGGCACGAACCGGACUAGAUACCCGGGUAGUCCUAGCCGUAAACGAUGCUCGCUAGGUGUCAGUCACGGUGCGACCGUGAUUGGUGCCGUAGGGAAGCCGUGAAGCGAGCCACCUGGGAAGUACGGCCGCAAGGCUGAAACUUAAAGGAAUUGGCGGGGGAGCACUACAACGGGUGGAGCCUGCGGUUU